UACGUAGGGGGCUAGCGUUGUCCGGAAUCACUGGGCGUAAAGCGCACGUAGGCGGAUUGCUAAGUCAGGGGUGAAAUCCUGGAGCUCAACUCCAGAACUGCCCUUGAUACUGGCGGUCUCGAGUCCGGGAGAGGUGAGUGGAACUGCGAGUGUAGAGGUGAAAUUCGUAGAUAUUCGCAAGAACACCAGUGGCGAAGGCGGCUCACUGGCCCGGUACUGACGCUGAGGUGCGAAAGCGUGGGGAGCAAACGGG
rnacentral:rRNA from 1 species